rnacentral:rRNA from 1 species
UACGUAGGUGGCAAGCGUUGUCCGGAUUUAUUGGGUUUAAAGGGUGCGUAGGCGGUCUAUUAAGUCAGCGGUGAAAUACUCCAGCUUAACUGGAGGGGUGCCAUUGAUACUGAUGGACUUGAGUCAAGUCGAGGUAGGCGGAAUUGACGGUGUAGCGGUGAAAUGCUUAGAUAUCGUCAAGAACACCAAUAGUGAAGACAGCUUACUGGGCUUAAACUGACGCUGAGGCACGAAAGCGUGGGGAUCAAACAGG